rnacentral:rRNA from 1 species
AGCAGCCGCGGUAAUUCCAGCUCCAAUAGCGUAUAUUAAAGUUGUUGCAGUUAAAAAGCUCGUAGUUGAAUUUUGGGUCUGGGCGGGCGGUCCACCUUCCGGUGAGCACUGUUCCGACGCCGGGCCUAUCCUUCUGGUGAGUCGGCAUGCCCUUCGCCGUGUGUGUCGGGGAACCAGGACCAUUACCUUGAAAAAUUAGAGUGUUCAAAGCAGGCAUUUGCUCGAAUACAUUAGCAUGGAAUAAUGAAAUAGGACGCGUGGUACUAUUUUGUUGGUUUCUAGGACCGCCGUAAUGAUUAAUAGGGAUAGUUUGGGGCAUUAGUAUUCAAUUGUCAGAGGUGAAAUUCUUGGAUUUAUUGAAGACUAACUUCUGCGAAAGCAUUUGCCAAGGAUGUUUUCAUUAAUCAAGAACGAAAGUUAGGGGAUCGAAGACGAUCAGAUACCGUCGUAGUCUUAACCAUAAACUAUGCCGACUAGGAAUCGGGCGAUGUUAUUUUAACGACUUCGCCCGGCGCCUUAU